GCUGCUUUGUGUGCACUUGUCAUUUUUGAAGUGCUGUGUCCCUGAUGGAUGGGAGAGCAUGGAGACCUUGACCUUGGAGCAGCAUUUCUGGAUCAGCUGUCACCAAGAGCUAGGUGCUCACAGUGCUGGAUGCCCAGGAACACCAAGCUUGGCCAGCACAUCCCUCUCUUCCCUAAUGGGGGCUCCGUCUGCUUGGGAAGGAGGAUGAGGAUGGCACAUGGCCACGUGUGCAGCAGCUCUCACAGCUUUGUCUCUUCCAAAGAGACCUCCAGGUGAUCUGGGGAAAAAAGAAAAUGCAGGAAUGGCUUGGACAAAUGCUUCAUGCUUUUGGUGCCAUGAGGGACAUGGGAAGAGUUCUGAGGCUGUUCUAGACCAUCUCAGAGCAGGAAGGAUGCAGGAAUAUGACACUGGCAGAUGCUCUACAGAGGUAAAUUCUGCAGAGAAAGGCAUAUGUGGCCCGAAGUUUAGAGUCCGACUAGCUGAGGGCGAAAGGCCGACGCCCCUCUGCAAUUCCUGGCCAGCACCCUUCGGCGUCUGAUGGCCUCGGGCUGUGCUGGCUGCGGACUGGCUUACACCGCUGGUAUAGGAGAGGAACGGAGCUGACCAUUUCCCGGGGGUUAAACAUCGGUUUAUUGAAGGUGUUGCGGGAUCCAAACGCGGGGAAACCAACCGGGAAAAAGUUUCUUCAUAGGGGGUGAAACAGGAUUAUAAAGGAGGAGGGUGGGUACAGGCGGAACCAAUCGGGAAAGGUGAGGGGAUGAACUUCACAGAACUGACACUCCAUGGAGACCAAUAAUCAAAAGGUAAAGGAGGUGUCCUGGGACCCCAGCCAGCCACCAUCUCCAGAGAGGAGAAGGUUCUCGAAACCUGGGAGGAGAAAGGGAGUGAUUGACUGGACCCAGGGAGGAAACAACUUUCACUUAUAAGGGAAACCAGGGGAGGAGCAAUUACAUAUCGGCAACUAUGAAUAGCGGUUACUAUAGCAACUUAGCUGACAGGCUAGCAGUGGCGGGAAAAACUGGGGGAACGAAACCAUUUUACACAUAAUAGGGGAGAACAAUACAUAAAUUGGGGGAAUAACACAAGAAACUUAACAACACACUACAACAGUAAAUGACAGAGCCUCCCCUUUCAACAGCAGGAUGUGAUCUGCAGGGAGCAGAGGGAGCUGGCCCUGGGCUGGCUGUGUGAGGUGUGGGCAGAAGUGACUCCUGCAUGAGAUACUGCUGAGCAGUGCAGCACCAGAGCAUCAG
ensembl:lncRNA